GACGAACGCUGGCGGCGUGCUUAACACAUGCAAGUCGAACGGAAAGGCCCUGCUUUUGUGGGGUGCUUGAGUGGCGAACGGGUGAGUAACACGUGAGUAACCUGCCCUUGACUUUGGGAUAACUUCAGGAAACUGGGGCUAAUACCGGAUAGGAGCUCCUGCUGCAUGGUGGGGGUUGGAAAGUUUCGGCGGUUGGGGAUGGACUCGCGGCUUAUCAGCUUGUUGGUGGGGUAGUGGCUUACCAAGGCUUUGACGGGUAGCCGGCCUGAGAGGGUGACCGGCCACAUUGGGACUGAGAUACGGCCCAGACUCCUACGGGAGGCAGCGGUGGGGAAUAUUGCACAAUGGGCGGAAGCCUGAUGCAGCAACGCCGCGUGCGGGAUGACGGCCUUCGGGUUGUAAACCGCUUUCGCCUGUGACGAAGCGUGAGUGACGGUAAUGGGUAAAGAAGCACCGGCUAACUACGUG
rnacentral:rRNA from 1 species